UACGGGGAUGCCGAAAACCGUUGACAGAGUAGGCU
rnacentral:ncRNA from 1 species